GUAUUACUGGGAGUUCCCUUCAAGCACUUUACGUAGCACUUUUUAAAGGUAUUAUGUGAAGUGUUUGGGGGAACUCUUGGUGCAAC
rfam:Triticum aestivum genome assembly, contig: Triticum_aestivum_CS42_TGACv1_scaffold_130484_2BL